rnacentral:rRNA from 1 species
GAAGCUGGAAUCGCUAGUAAUCGCGAAUCAGGAUGUCGCGGUGAAUACGUUCCCGGGUCUUGUACACACCGCCCGUCACACCAUGGGAGUCGGAAAUGCCCGAAGUCAGUGACCCAACCGCAAGGAGGGAGCUGCCGAAGGUGGAGCCGGUAACUGGGGUGAAGUCGUAACAAGGUACC